UAGGGAAUCUUCCGCAAUGGACGAAAGUCUGACGGAGCAACGCCGCGUGAGUGAAGAAGGAUUUCGGUUCGUAAAACUCUGUUGUUAGGGAAGAAAAAAUGUAUAGUAACUAUAUACAAAAGAGACGGUACCUAACCAGAAAGCCACGGCUAACUACGUGCCAGCAGCCGCGGUAAUACGUAGGUGGCAAGCGUUGUCCGGAAUUAUUGGGCGUAAAGCGCGCGCAGGUGGUUUAGAAAGUCUGAUUUGAAAGCCCACGGCUCAACCGUGUAGGGUCAUUUGAAACUAAUAAACUUGAUUUCAGGAGCGAAAAGUGGGAUUCCUAGUGUAGCGGUGAAAUGCGUAGAGAUUAGGAGGAACACCGGUGGCGAAAGCGGCUUUUUGGCCUGCAACUGACACUGAGGCGCGAAAGCGUGGGGAGCAAACAGG
rnacentral:rRNA from 1 species